rnacentral:rRNA from 1 species
ACUCAAAGGAAUAGACGGGGGCCCGCACAAGCGGCGGAGCAUGUGGCUUAAUUCGACGCAACGCGAAGAACCUUACCAAGGCUUGACAUCGCCCGGACAGUCCCAGAGAUGGGGUUUCCCUUUGGGUCGGGUGACAGGUGGUGCAUGGCUGUCGUCAGCUCGUGUCGUGAGAUGUUGGGUUAAGUCCCGCAACGAGCGCAACCCUUGUUCUGUGUUGCCAGCAGGCCCUUUGCGGUGCUGGGGACUCACAGGAGACCGCCGGGGUCAACUCGGAGGAAGGUGGGGACGACGUCAAGUCAUCAUGCCCCUUAUGUCUUGGGCUGCACACGUGCUACAAUGGCCGGUACAAUGAGUUGCGAUGCCGUGAGGUGGAGCGAAUCUCAAAAAGCCGGUCUCAGUUCGGAUUGGGGUCUGCAACUCGACCCCAUGAAGUCGGAGUCGCUAGUAAUCGCAGAUCAGCAGUGCUGCGGUGAAUACGUUCCCGGGCCUUGUACACACCGCCCGU